GGAAGACGGUGCGAAUCCGUCGCAGACGCGCUGCUGUGACCGGGCAAAACGCCGGCCGCGACCACUGGGCACACCGCCCGGGAAGGAAGCGGCCACAUGGCCGGGGGACGUGCCCCCGCCCGGAAGCCAGAAGAC
rnacentral:ncRNA from 2 species